rnacentral:rRNA from 1 species
CCUACGGGAGGCAGCAGUGGGGAAUAUUGGGCAAUGGGCGCAAGCCUGACCCAGCAACGCAGCGUGAAGGAAGAAGGCUCUCGGGUUGUAAACUUCUUUUAUCAGGGACGAAGCAAGUGACGGUACCUGAUGAAUAAGCCACGGCUAACUACGUGCCAGCAGCCGCGGUAAUACGUAGGUGGCAAGGGUUAUCCGGAUUUACGGGGUUUACAGGGUGCGUAGGCGGGCAUUUAAGCCGGCGGGCAAAUGUCGGGGUUCAACCCCGGCCUGCCGUCGGUACUGGGUGCCUUGAGUGGGCGAGAAGUAUGCGGAAUGCGUGGUGUAGCGGUGAAAUGCAUAGAUAUCACGCAGAACCCCGAUUGCGAAGGCAGCAUACCGGCGCCCUACUGACGCUGAGGCACGAAAGUGCGGGUAUCGAACAGGAUUAGAUACCCUAGUAGUC